rnacentral:rRNA from 1 species
UAGGGAAUCUUCGGCAAUGGGGGCAACCCUGACCGAGCAACGCCGCGUGAGUGAAGAAGGUUUUCGGAUCGUAAAGCUCUGUUGUAAGAGAAGAACGUGUGUGAGGGUGGAAAGUUCACACAGUGACGGUAACUUACCAGAAAGGGACGGCUAACUACGUGCCAGCAGCCGCGGUAAUACGAAGGUCCCGAGCGUUUUCCGGAUUUAUUGGGCGUAAAGCGAGCGCAGGCGGUUUAAUAAGUCUGAAGUUAAAGGCAGUGGCUUAACCAUUGUUCGCUUUGGAAACUGUUAAACUUGAGUGCAGAAGGGGAGAGUGGAAUUCCAUGUGUAGCGGUGAAAUGCGUAGAUAUAUGGAGGAACACCGGUGGCGAAAGCGGCUCUCUGGUCUGUAACUGACGCUGAGGCUCGAAAGCGUGGGGAGCAAACAGG